rnacentral:tRNA from 1 species
AGCUAUUAAGUUUAUACUUAUGUUUUGAAAGCAUAAAAAGGAGUUUUAUCCAAUAGUUU